rnacentral:rRNA from 1 species
UACGUAGGGUGCAAGCGUUAAUCGGAAUUACUGGGCGUAAAGCGUGCGCAGGCGGCUUUGCAAGUCAGAUGUGAAAUCCCCGGGCUUAACCUGGGAAUGGCAUUUGGGACUGCAAGGCUGGAGUGUGGCAGAGGAGACUGGAAUUCCCGGUGUAGCAGUGAAAUGCGUAGAUAUCGGGAGGAAUACCGAUGGCGAAGGCAGGUCUCUGGGCUGACACUGACGCUCAUGCACGAAAGCGUGGGGAGCAAACAGG